rnacentral:lncRNA from 1 species
CCCGUGGUGGCACUGCUGGGCUUUGCCCACGGUUUUCAUUUCACCUGUUGUUCGUUCUGCUUUAAUAUGGCCACAUGGGUGCUCAGAAUCGAAUUCUGAGAGGAUAUGAUAAUUUUUACGUUUUUUGGCGGUUGGAGGUGGCUUCGGUGCGGCGACGGUCGGCAGUCGGCGGUCAGCGGUCAGCGGUCAGCGGUCAGCUCCCUUCUUUGGCUACUGGUUAUUCUUCUCCGGUGGGAGGCUAGCGGCUAAGGUUUGAGUUCAAUGUGAUGCGAGAUAUUUAUACCCAUAUCGUAUUAAUCUGGACCGUUCAUCGCAUUCCAUAUCGAUCGUUCGAUCGAGCCUGAAGAAGAAAUGAAUAUGGGUCAUUCAUUGCGUUCGAUCUCGACCGUUCGAUCUUAUCUAAGGAGGAAACGAAUCUAGACUGUUCAUCGCGUUUGAUCUCGAUCGUCCGAUCGCUUCAUCGGGGUU